rnacentral:lncRNA from 1 species
CGGUUUCCCCUCUUCCUCCGUCGAGCAUAUCCAUCUUCUUCCCUUUUCUUUGGCUUUCUUCUUCAGCAGUAGCGGAAGGCCAGAAAAGCAGAAGCAGCUGCCAUCAUCGCCUCUCGCCAUCGUCGCCGCCCACCGAAGUCGGAGCCGCCGCCGUCGGUGCUCCACGGUCGGCCGCACCUCGCCGCACGCCCUCCGCCUCCGCCCCUUCUCCCCCCUCUUGUUCGAACGAAGCAGAAACAGGGGCA